rnacentral:lncRNA from 10 species
CCCAUUGGCCGCCGUUUCCGGAAGCCCGCCCUCCCAUUUCCGGAAGCCUGGCGCAAGGUUGGUCUGCAGGUGGCCUCCAGGUGCAAAGUGGGAAGUGUGAGUCCUCAGUCUUGGGCUAUUCGGCCACGUGCCUGCCGGACAUGGGACGCUGGAGGGUCAGCAGCGUGGAGUCCUGGCCUUUUGCGUCCACGGGUGGGAAAUUGGCCAUUGCCACGGCGGGAACUGGGACUCAGGCUGCCCCCCGGCCGUUUCUCAUCCGUCCACCGGACUCGUGGGCGCUCGCACUGGCGCUGAUGUAGUUUCCUGACCUCUGACCCGUAUUGUCUCCAGAUUAAAGGUACGACAUUUGGAGGCCCCAGCGAGAAACGUCACCGGGAGAAACGUCACCGGGCGAGAGCCGGGCCCGCUGUGUGCUCCCCCGGAAGGACAGCCAGCUUGUAGGGGGGAGUGCCACCUGAAAAAAAAAUUUCCAGGUCCCCAAAGGGUGACCGUCUUCCGGAGGACAGCGGAUCGACUACCAUGUGGGUGCCCACAAAAAUUCCACCUCUGAGUCCUCAACUGCUGACCCCGGGGUCAGGUCCAGAUUUUGAACAAAUCUCGCUAGAGAUUGAACAGAGCUGCGCCUGGAUCCCGCCACAGUGAGGAGACCUGAAGACCAGAGAAAACACAGCAAGCCCCUGGAUCCUCCUGGAAUCCCCGAUCCCUCUUGCUCCCUGGCAGAGUUUUCUAGUCCCUCUUACUUGAAGCAUGUCUUUCAGAGCCCGGCACCACCCAUCUUGAGUAUCUGGUGGAUUUUCACAUCUCAAGCCAGCUAAGAGUAUGGGAAAUAGGACUCGUUAAAGCACAGAUAUCACACAAGUGAUUCAGAUUCACGAGGGUAAUCCAGAUGAAGGUAUAUCAUUGUACCUGGCCCGCAUCACUCAGUAACUGUCACCUUUGAUUUAUUGAUUUACUUGAGAUGGAGUUUGGUUCUGUCCCCGAGGCCGGAGUGCAAUGGCGUGAUCUCUGCUCACUACAACCUCUGCCUCCCAGGUUCAGAGUGAUUCUCCUGCCUCAGCCUCUUUAGCUGGGAUUACAGGCACCCACCAACAUGCCCAGCUAAUUUUUGUAUUUUUAGUAGAGAGGAGCUUUCACCAUAAUGGCCAGGCUGGUCUUGAACCUCAAAUGAUCUGCCCACCUUGGCCUCCCAAAGUGCUAGGAUUACAGGCUGGAGCUACAGAGCCCAGCCUGUCACCUUGAUUUAAAUGAAUGCAGCUUUCUUGGUGUCUUGAUGUUUGUGAAUUUCUGUGGAGUUUGAUACUGCUCCUUUUGCUGCUUGUUUUUCCAGAGUCCCCUUAUCACUUGACGUGCUGUUAUAUUAUGUUUGAUUUAUUACAGAUACCCCAUCAGCCUGAGUCUCUUAAAGGCCUUUAUACACAUAUGUCUACACAUAGGGAUUUGGAUGAUCUCGGGAUCCCACAUCCUCGCUGUCCCCUGUCCCCCCGCAACAUCCCCCACCAAUACCUUUCUGAAGUUUUCUAGUCCCUCCUUUUUGUUUGUGCUCCUUAAAGCCCAGCCCCAUGCCUGACUUUGGUUCCCAGUGAGCAUUGUACAUUUGUGGAUAUUAAAUCUUUGGCAAAGUCAUUUACCUGGGCUGGAAUAGGGCUCUUGGCUGAUUCUUUUUCCUAAACACCCACCCAAUGGGAGAGGCUGAUACUCAACAUGCAAACCUUGUGUUUUAUUUCUCCAGGCGAAGGGAUGUUGGAAGACAUUCUGGAAGGGGUGGGGUGUGAAGAUUUACAAAUAAUCUUUGAAUAUCUGCUUCAUGAUAGGUCUUGGAGGUGCCUUGUGGGUGUGGCUUUGGGGGGAUGGUUACGAGGAAAUUGUGGAUAUUAAGGAAGUCAGGAAAGGAAAAGAUCAGUCACAAUUCAACAAUUCAGAGAAAGCUCCUAAGGGACUUUCUGGCUGCUUGAUGCCCAGAGGCCAGGCCCUCACUUCGUAUUAAGGCUCAGGACUGUGGAUAGAGAAUUUAAAGGGGCACCAAAAAAAACAUUAAAAUAGAUAAACAUAUUUUUAAUGGAAUACCUUUAAAAAUGCAAAUCAAUGCACAAAGAAAACGCCCA